CAGAGACUGCAAGCGUUAUUCGGAUUCACUGGGCGUAAAGGGUGCGCAGGCGGUUGGGUGUGUCAGAUGUGAAAUCCCGAGGCUUAACCUCGGAACUGCGUCUGGAACUACUCGACUAGAGUACUGGAGAGGGUAACGGAAUUCACGGUGUAGCAGUGAAAUGCGUAGAUAUCGUGAGGAACACCAGAGGCGAAGGCGGUUACCUGGACAGUUACUGACGCUCAGGCACGAAAGCACGGGGAGCAAAAGGGAUUAGAUACCCCUGUAGUCCAUGCCCUAAACGGUGCACACUAGGUCUUAGCGGAUUCGACCCCACUAGGGCCCAAGCUAACGCGUUAAGUGUGCCGCCUGAGGACUACGGUCGCAAGACUA
rnacentral:rRNA from 1 species